GUAGUCUCGCACAGAUGCAUAUCAAUAAGCGGAGGAAAAGAAACUAACAAGGAUUCCCCUAGUAACGGCGAGUGAAGCGGGAAGAGCUCAAAUCUGAAAUCUUAAAGGGUUUCCCUUUACGAAUUGUAGUUUAAAGAAGUGUUUUCUGUUGAGGUUUUGGUAAAAGUUCUUUGGAAUAGGACAUCAUAGAGGGUGAGAAUCCCGUAUUUGACCUUUACUUUCAACUUUGUGAUACACUUUCAAAGAGUCGGAUUGUUUGGGAAUGCAGUCCAAAAUGGGUGGUAAAUUUCAUCUAAAGCUAAAUAUUGGCGAGAGACCGAUAGCGAACAAGUACCGUGAGGGAAAGAUGAAAAGAACUUUGAAAAGAGAGUUAAACAGUACGUGAGAUUGUCAAAAGGGAAGCGUUUGACACCAGUGUUGUUUUUCUGAAAAUCAAUUAAAGAACUGUUUAUGCUAAGUUGUUUAGACUUUAUCAGCUAUCUGUUUAGUUUUGAGCUUUUCUUUAAUGCGCUUUUCAGUUAACAAGUCAACAUCAAUUUCUUUUGCUGUAAAAAAGCUUGAGGAAGGUGGCUUGAGAUUCGUCUUAAGUGUUUAUAGCCUCUUGCCUAUGCAGUCGGAGAGAUUGAGGUCUGCAGCGUAGAUCCUUCGGGGCUAAAUGCAUUUGUGCUAAGUUAUAGCAUUUUAUAGACAACUUGUUGACUAUGAUUUGUCUUGUAGCUUACUCGCUUAUGUUAUUUUACCUACGCUUAGGAUGUUGAGCGCAUGUCUCUCUCU
rnacentral:rRNA from 1 species